GACGAACGCUGGCGGCGUGCCUAAUACAUGCAAGUAGAACGCUGAAGGAGGAGCUUGCUCUUCUGGAUGAGUUGCGAACGGGUGAGUAACGCGUAGGUAACCUGCCUGGUAGCGGGGGAUAACUAUUGGAAACGAUAGCUAAUACCGCAUAACAGUAGAUGUUGCAUGACAUUUACUUAAAAGGUGCAAUUGCAUCACUACCAGAUGGACCUGCGUUGUAUUAGCUAGUUGGUGGGGUAACGGCUCACCAAGGCGACGAUACAUAGCCGACCUGAGAGGGUGAUCGGCCACACUGGGACUGAGACACGGCCCAGACUCCUACGGGAGGCAGCAGUAGGGAAUCUUCGGCAAUGGACGGAAGUCUGACCGAGCAACGCCGCGUGAGUGAAGAAGGUUUUCGGAUCGUAAAGCUCUGUUGUAAGAGAAGUACGAGUGUGAGAGUGGAAAGUUCACACUGUGACGGUAUCUUACCAGAAAGGGACGGCUAACUACGUG
rnacentral:rRNA from 1 species